GACGAACGCUGGCGGCGUGCUUAACACAUGCAAGUCGAACGGAAAGGCCCUGCUUUUGUGGGGUGCUCGAGUGGCGAACGGGUGAGUAACACGUGAGUAACCUGCCCUUGACUUUGGGAUAACUUCAGGAAACUGGGGCUAAUACCGGAUAGGAGCUCCUGCUGCAUGGUGGGGGUUGGAAAGUUUCGGCGGUUGGGGAUGGACUCGCGGCUUAUCAGCUUGUUGGUGGGGUAGUGGCUUACCAAGGCUUUGACGGGUAGCCGGCCUGAGAGGGUGACCGGCCACAUGGGGACUGAGAUACGGCCCAGACUCCUACGGGAGGCAGCAGUGGGGAAUAUUGCACAAUGGGCGGAAGCCUGAUGCAGCAACGCCGCGUGCGGGAUGACGGCCUUCGGGGUGUAAACCGCUUUAGCCUGUGACGAAGCGUGAGUGACGGUAAUGGGUAAAGAAGCACCGGCUAACUACGUG
rnacentral:rRNA from 1 species